rnacentral:rRNA from 1 species
UACGUAGGGGGCUAGCGUUGUCCGGAUUAUUGGGCGUAAAGAGCGUGUAGGCGGCCAGGUAGGUCUGCUGUGAAAACUCGAGGCUCAACCCUCGAGACGUCGGCGGAAACCAUCUGGCUAGAGUCCGGAAGAGGAGAGUGGAAUUCCUGGUGUAGCGGUGAAAUGCGCAGAUAUCAGGAAGAACACCCGUGGCGAAGGCGGCUCUCUGGGACGGUACUGACGCUGAGACGCGAAAGCGUGGGGAGCGAACAGG